CUCCAACAUGACCGCCAACCGCCUCUCCCGUUCCUCUUCCUUCUUGCGCAGGGGAGCCAGCCUGUGGAGGGGAAGGGAAUUCCCCCCAGAAGAGCCGCAUCCGAUGGCAGAUCCUGCAAAAAGUAUCCAAUACAUUUUGUAAUUUGGGGGAAAAUCGCGUAAAAUGGAGGACCAGAAUCAGCUGCCUGACACCUUGAACCCUGGACCAGAGCUGCCUGAACAUAACAUUCAAAUCAGGAAUAGCAUUGUUUGGAAGCACCCCAAAUGUUCUGCAGUAGAUGACUGCCGUGUAGCCCCAAGUUUCUGCUUUCAUCAGCAAUGGCGGUCUCCCUGUGUGUCUGUCUUCAGGCAGUGGUCUUCUUAGAAGCACACGAGUCCGAUGGAUCGGGACCCACCUACUCCAGUAGGACCUCGUCUUAACUAACUACACCUGCAGUGACUCUGUUUCCCAAAUAAGGUCACAUUCUGAGAAGGAAGGAAGGGAGCUGGUGGGUGGGCUGUGAGCUGUCCCAUGGAGAGACCCGUAUGGCAAGGAAGAGAGGGUGGCCCCUGGCCAAUAGCCCACAAAGAAUGGAAAUCUACCAGCCAGCACUUCAGUGAUUUUGGAAGCUGAUCUACUUUCGGUUGAGCCUUGAGGUGACUGCAACCUUGUGAGAAACCCAGAGCCAGAGGACCCAGUUAAGAUGUUCCUUGGAUUCCUGAACUUCACAGAAACUUCAUGAUAAUAAAUGUUGUUGUUUUAAGCCA